UACGGAGGGGCUAGCGUUGUUCGGAAUUACUGGGCGUAAAGCGCACGUAGGCGGCUUUGCAAGUCAGAGGUGAAAGCCCGGGGCUCAACCCCGGAAUAGCCUUUGAGACUGCAUCGCUAGAAUUGUGGAGAGGUAAGUGGAAUUCCGAGUGUAGAGGUGAAAUUCGUAGAUAUUCGGAAGAACACCAGUGGCGAAGGCGGCUUACUGGUCCGGUUCUGACGCUGAGGUGCGAAAGCGUGGGGAGCAAACAGG
rnacentral:rRNA from 1 species